rnacentral:misc_RNA from 1 species
AAGUCGUAACAAGGUUUCCGUAGGUGAACCUGCGGAAGGAUCAUUAACGUAUCUCUGGCGGGUGCGGGCGCGCCCUGCUCCGGACUCGUUCCGUGCAGCGGGCGUCCCGUCCCGUCCAACCCCUCACAAACCCACCGUGAACCUUUUGCGGCGGAGGUCGUCCGGCGAGAGCUGGGUGGCCGAGGCCGAAUAACCAAACCCCAAGUUAAAUGAAAUGAUCUGUGGCCUUGCGUCACCUAAAUUUGUAACAACUUUCAACAACGGAUCUCUUGGCUCUC